GUAGUCUCGCACAGAUGCAUAUCAAUAAGCGGAGGAAAAGAAACUAACAAGGAUUCCCUCAGUAACGGCGAGUGAAGCGGGAAGAGCUCAAAUUUGAAAUCUUGAAAGGUCACCUUUCACGAAUUGUAGUUUAAAGAAGUGUUUUCUGUUACGAUCGUAAUAUAAGUUCUUUGGAAUAGGACAUCACAGAGGGUGAGAAUCCCGUCUAUGAUUGCGAUUUGUAGCUUUGUGUUACACUUUCAAAGAGUCGGGUUGUUUGGGAAUGCAGCCCAAAACGGGAGGUAAAUUCCUUCUAAGGCUAAAUAUUGGCGAGAGACCGAUAGCGAACAAGUACCGUGAGGGAAAGAUGAAAAGAACUUUGAAAAGAGAGUUAAAUAGUACGUGAAAUUGUCAAAAGGGAAGCGUUUAACACCAGUGUUGUUUUCUGAAAAUCAACCUCUGUUAGCUUUAUGCAUGUUUGUUUAGACCUAAUCAGCUAUCUUGCAUGUUCUAUUGUUUGCAGUGGUGCACUUUUCAGUUUACAGGUCAACAUCAGUUUUUUUUACCGUAAAAAAGUUAAAGAAAGGUAGCUCAUGGCUCCGGUCGUGAGUGUUAUAGUCUUUUUCCUAUGCGGUAGGAGAGACUGAGGUCUGCAGUGUAGGCUAUUUGGCUAGAUACUCAGGUGCUAUGUGAUACCAUUUCAUAAACAACUUGUUGAUUAUGUUUUGUCUAUUGCAUACUCGCUUGUACUAUCAUACCUACGCUUAGGAUGUUGAGUCGUAGAGCACGCAG
rnacentral:rRNA from 1 species